UGUGCCUCCUGCGAAAGUUGGUCGAUACGCCGGCGAAGCCUGCGAUUGAGGCGUUGGCGUUUCCAACGCCGCGUGAGCCCUCUGCGCGCCUCCCACAGAUGCAAAAGAUGCGGGUCCACGUCCGGGUUUGCAGUUGUGAUGCAGUCCAAG
rnacentral:lncRNA from 1 species